GGGCGCCCUCCCGCGGCUUGUGGCCACCGUUUUGCGGUGCUCGUCUCCUGUUGUUGUCGUCCAAGCCGCCCCUUUCGUCGUCUUUCGAGGGCAGGUCGGCGGGCAGAUCGCCGCAGUCGUCUCCCCCUUCCGGUGAUUUCAAUCUCACCUAAGCCACAGACGGGGCUUGACAAAGGAUGGAUCUUUGGGUCACGGGCGAGAGCCUUGCCUCGCUUCGGCUAGCGCAAAACAAUGGUGACGUCCGUGGACGUCGUUUACCUUGCUGGAGGCAUUGGGGUGACCUUAAUCUUGUAUCCGUGGGGUGAAAACCUAGUCUUUCUGACGGGCGAUGUGUCACACCCGUGGCCGUGGCGGAUCGCCGGCGACGUGAGAUAGACUAGCAGCACGAGAUGGACAUGGCGUGGGGAAGGGGAAGGUCCCCUGUCCCGUUCACGAGUUCGAUUUUAGAGAUAAGAUUCAACUUGUUUUCUUUACAGCCAGCAGGGUGUAUGUAUACCCAAUUACUCGCUGCCCACACGGGCCCACAUGACCACUCGCAGGUGGCUCACGCACACGCUAAAGAAUACGUCUUCUAUCUUCUGAAUACGUCAUGCGGGCGGCGUGACAUCUCCCCCCGCUGCAGAACUUGCUUGUCCCCAAGCAAGACAUGUAGGAAAGCGGCGCAUGACCACGUACAGAUCCUCCCAGGUUGCAGAAGCCUGCGGAAUGUUAGCCCAUUUCACCAAAACUUGUGGAAUAGCCCGGUUAUCUUUCUUAACGAGACGACGAUCCAACACCGAUUCCGGUUCAAGCUCAGUAGCACUCAAAUCAGCAAGUAAUGGCAGUUGUGUAUAAACUGGUGUGUAAUCAGGUGUAAAAGGCUUGAGUUGGGAGAUAUGAAAAACUGGAUGGACCAAGCUUCCUUCAGGAA